rnacentral:tRNA from 1 species
UGUAGAAUGCCUGAGAAAAGGGUAAUUUUGAUAGAAUUAAUCACACACAUUUUGUGUUUCUACAAAU